AGGCAACACUAAGAACCUAACUGAAUAUAUUAACAGUUGGUCAUGGAUUUAAGAUAGGUAUACAAGGAACCAGGGGCUUAUGAAAAAGGAAGUGCUAAUGUGGACCAGCAAGGUACUCCAACCUACACCUUAGUAAGAAUCUGAAAAAGGGAUGGGAACAUAUCAAUACAUCUAUUUCAUUAUAUGUUACUAUCUAUUAACAUAUCUACUGAAUAAUUUGAAAACAAUCUUCCUCUGUCGCCCAGGCUGGAGUACAGUGGCACAAUCUCAGCUCACUGCAACCUUCGCCUCCCAGGUUCAAGCGAUUCUCAUGACUCAGCCUCCGGAGUAGCUGGGAUUACAGGCAUGUGCCACCACACCUGGCUGAUUUUUGUAUUUUCAGCAGAGACAGGGUUUCACCAUGUUGGCCAGGCUGGUCUCGAACUCCUGACCUCAAGUGAUCCACCCACCUCGUCCUCCCAAAGUGCUGAGAUUACAGGCAUGAGCCACCAUGCCUGGCCCCAAUUCCUUCUAAAUCUAAGGCUGUGAGCACUUACUUGUAUU